rnacentral:tRNA from 1 species
AUUUGUAUAAUAUAACUAUUAUAUUUGACUUCCAAUCAAAAAAUCUUGCUAAAGUACAAAUA